rnacentral:rRNA from 1 species
AGAAGAAACGACUGGAAAGUCGUGCCAUAGACGGUGAUAGCCCGGUAUUCUAAGGUAACCGAAGCGUAGUGGUAUCCUGAGUAGCGCGGAGCACGAGGAAUUCUGCGUGAACCAGCCGGGACCAUCCGGUAAGGCUAAAUACUCCCGAGAGACCGAUAGCGAACCAGUACUGUGAAGGAAAGGUGAAAAGCACUUCGAAUAGAAGAGUGAAAUAGUCCCUGAA